rnacentral:rRNA from 1 species
UACGUAGGGUGCAAGCGUUGUCCGGAAUUAUUGGGCGUAAAGAGCUUGUAGGCGGUUUGUCGCGUCUGCUGUGAAAUUUCGGGGCUCAACCCCGAACUUGCAGUGGGUACGGGCAGACUAGAGUGUGGUAGGGGAGACUGGAAUUCCUGGUGUAGCGGUGAAAUGCGCAGAUAUCAGGAGGAACACCGAAGGCGAAGGCAGGUCUCUGGGCCAUAACUGACGCUGAGAAGCGAAAGCAUGGGGAGCGAACAGG